rnacentral:rRNA from 1 species
UACGGAGGGGGCUAGCGUUGUUCGGAAUUACUGGGCGUAAAGCGCACGUAGGCGGCUUUGUAAGUUAGAGGUGAAAGCCCGGGGCUCAACUCCGGAAUUGCCUUUAAGACUGCAUCGCUCGAAUUGUGGAGAGGUAAGUGGAAUUCCGAGUGUAGAGGUGAAAUUCGUAGAUAUUCGGAAGAACACCGGUGGCGAAGGCGGUUCUCUGGGCCUUACCUGACGCUGAGGAGCGAAAGCUGGGGAGCAAACAGG